AGAUCUCAAUUCCAAUUGCAGCCACAGGAUCGAAGUCAGGUUUUUCAAUUUCGAAGUAGCUAGGGUUAGGGAUUUGCCUAGGCUUCCAUAUUCCCUUGUAGUUAGGAUUGUCAAUUUCUGGGGCGUGCCACUUGCCCUUGUAUUCGGGGUUUCUCUUCAUUGGUUUCUUCCAUUCACCACAGCCAGGAGCUGUCUCACAGUUUGGGUUAUCAAUCUUUGGUGCCUCCCAUUCACCAUCUUCUUCAUCAUCCCAAUCUUCAGGCUUGGUGGCCUCAGGAUCAUCGAUCUCUUCAGGCUCAUCAUCUAGCCAUCCUUCAGGCUUUUCGGCUUCCUCAUCUACAAUUUCCAUUGGUGCAUCCUCAUCCCAAUCAUCUGGCUUCACUGCAUUAGGAUCGGGAAUUUUCGCUCUCUCAUCCCAAUCCUCAGGUUUCUUGUCAUCUGGAUCGGCUAUUGUCUUGGCAGGAAUUAUAGGAGGCUCGAAAUCAUCCUCAGAAAGGAAAUUAGCCUUUUUCUUCUCACUCCCAUCAAUGAGAAUACGCACAUUAUUGCCAGAUUCCAAAAUGGCUGUGUAAACAUGAGACAAUUUGUCGGCUGGGACAGAAGGAG
rnacentral:lncRNA from 1 species